rnacentral:snRNA from 1 species
UGGGAGGGACAAUUCGAU